rnacentral:rRNA from 1 species
CCGCUGAACUUAAGCAUAUCACUAAGCGGAGGAAAAGAAACUAACUAGGAUGGCCUCAGUAAGGGCGACUGAAGUGGCCAAAGCCCAAGAUGGUAAUCUCAGUCUUUCAGGCUGCGAGUUGUAAUCUUGAGAGGCUAAGCUUAACGGGUAGUGGCGCAGAAGUGAUCUGGAACGGUCCGCCAAAGAGGGUGACAGCCCCGUACGUGGUGCCGCGACCUACCUAGCUGGCUUUCAAAGAGUCGGGUUGUUUUGUAUUGCAGCCCUAAGCGGGAGAUAAACUUCUUCUAAGGCUAAAUAUAUAUGGGAAACCGAUAGCGAACAAGUACUGUGAAGGAAAGAUGAAAAGCACUUUGGAAAGAGAGUCAAAAGACCUGAAAUCGUUUAGACGGAAGCGGUAGAGAUGUAUACUUCAGCGUCACGCGGGGCUAACUUGUGNGGAGUUGUGAGGCUGGAUGGGGUAGCUUCGCUGCAGAGGCUUGGCAAGACCUCCUUCGGGAACCCCUUGUCUUUGUCGGUGGCGGUGCUGCCUGAGGGUGCCUUGUGCGAUCCGGUCAAAAUGGUCUUUACCGACUCGUCUUGAAACACGAACCAAGGAGUCUAACGUACACGCGAGUAUGCCAGUGGAAAAACUGUCCUGCGGAAUGAAAGUGAUUGNUGCCAAG